rnacentral:lncRNA from 1 species
UGGGGGAAGGAACUUUGGUCCCUUGUGUCAUCAGGGGAUCUCAGUACCUGUAUUGCCUACGACAUCCCUUCGUUUCUGUUUUUCUUACAGCUGUUUGACAAGGCCAACAAACACCACUUCUUACACAGCCUGGCCCUGUUAGGGGUGCCCCAUUGCAGAAAGCCACUCUGGGCUGGGUUAUUGCUAGCUUCCGGAACGACCUUAUUCUGCACCAGCUUUUACUACCAGGCUCUGAGUGGAGACCCCAGCAUCCAGACUUUGGCCCCUGCGGGAGGGACCCUGCUACUCUUGGGCUGGCUUGCCUUGGCUCUUUGAGCUCCCUUUUGCUUAAUUACUGGGUUUUCUGGGCAGUUUUUUUUUUAAAGAGUUGGAGUAAGAAGAGGAUUAAAAAGGAAAGGCAAAU